GUAGCCAGGGCUACUGUCUAUCUCUGAAAUGCUCCCACGGGCUCAUGUUUUGAAUGCUUGUUUCUUCAGACGGUGACUGCAUUCAGAGAGGUCAGGGGCCUAUAGGAGGCUGGGCCUAGCUGCUUAAGUAGGUAACUAGAGGCAUGCCUUGAAGGUGGUUAAAACCCAGGUCCUGGCCUGGUUUCUGGUCCUGAUCAAAUCCCAGCUCCUGCCACUCCAGCGCCACCACCACGGUGACAGACCGAACUCUCAGAACAGUGAGUCAAAGCGAUCUUUUCCUUCACUAGGUGGUUUCCGUCAGGGAUCUUGGCAUGGCAACAAGAGAAAGCAGCAAGAGUCAGCUCUGAGACCAAGCAUACCCUGCAGCUGUCACCGUCCACAGACCAGCCUGGUGGCUUACAGCCGGGAGUGACCGUAAGGCCGCACGGAUAGGUGGGCGCACCACUGGGUUCCCGAUUAGCAUGGGGGGGCACAGCGGUGUUACCUGGGAAACUACUAUAACUAACUGCAGAAAAGCUGGUGGUGGGAGAGGGGUCAGGGUCCCCAUGAUAACAAAUACUUCGGCUGAUCUGUGACGGUUCAGCCACCAAGUUAAACACAGCUGCUGGGCCAUCAGGAGUCAGGCUGCGGAACAUGUAGGUAGCCGAAUCCCAUGUCUGUGAAUGCUCAUGUGUUCUGAAGGCAAGGGAGGUAUUUGUACUUUAUAAUAUAAAGUGUCAACUAUUGCCUGGUUUCCCCAGCCCUUUCCGUCUCUGUCUGGGGCUCCUACUUGGCUCCGCGCUUCUCCUCUGUCCUAGGCCCUGAGUGUGGCUGCGCUCUGCGACUGCUGUCCCGAGACGCCAACAGCUUCACUGCUAGAUUCGUGCUGUGGGGUAGAGUUCGGUAGAGCUGGGGGGUGUGAACGUGGCUCGCAAACCACGCAGCAUCUUAGUAGCCUCAAGCUGGAAGAGCAUGGAGUAUGUGGCAGGACCCGCCAAGGGACACAGAGAGUCAAGACUGCUGGAAGGAUCGGUCUGCUGUGUGGAAAGGGGAGACACCGGAACCAGCGUCCCCUGGCUCAAUUCCCUUCCCCACUUCAGGGCAGCCUAGGUCCGAGGAGCUUGGGGGUUCUGGGAACAACUUCUCUUCAGCUUCCCAUCUUCAGGAUGUCACUUUGUGUUUGUGUCCCGUGGCCACUGAGAUCACAAAACAUGAAUUGUGUGGCCCUGCGUGUGACUGGCUUUGGUGAUGAGAGCAUGGAUGGGAGAAUUCAAAGUGAGUAACUGGAAAUGUAGAUCUUUUCUUUACUAAGAACAACCCUGAAUGGAAAUGAAGCAGCACCCUGACAGGUUCAACAAGAGCAGUGACGGAGAGAGCCCUAGGCCUGGUGGCCGUCCCUUGCUCCCGCCUGUUGAGUGAAGAGUCCAUGCUUGCAUUCUGCUCUAGGUCUCACAGAUUGUGUAGCUGGCUCUGCAGGAUGAGGAGCUGUGUCUCUGAUGGCUAUGGUGCUGGCUCCCAGCUGAACCUGUGUGGAUUAUAAACUGUCAGAUUUGUCAGGAGAAGCCCGCUAGGCCUGCUAAGUGACACUUCAUUAUAAAGCCGGCCCUUGGCUCUGUCCUUCCUCUGCAGGGCCUUCACUGACCCUAAGCCUUGACUCAAGUGCACUUGCGAGCAUCACCUCAGCCCGAGUUCUCAGUCUAUGUGGACGCUUGGGCCCCCUCUCUGGGUCUGUGGUCUGUGGUGGGAUUUUCCAGAGCUUUACCGGAACCUCGUGUGCCCACCACACAGAAAGGGAAACACACCCUCCAUUUAAGUUAGAUGGUGUUCGUUCCUGGCAUCUCAGGGACACAAAGGUCCGAGCUGAGCCGGCCAGCAGAGGGCAGCAGUGUAUGGCGAAUGGUGGACUCCGGUUCCUGAAAGGACAGUAUCUUCAGGAGGGAGAAGACAUGAGAGCCAGAGAGAAAGCCUGUCAGCCAGAGUCUUGCUGAGUGUUCUGAGGCCCCCAUAGCCAACACUCAUGGCGAACACCUCAGACGCUGCUGGGCUGGAUGCCAGAGACCCGGAGAGACAAGGGCUCUGUCUUUGGGGAGCCACACACGUAACAGAUCACAACCCCGGACUGACUCACUGAUGUAGAAUAAAUAGGCUUGGUUGGGAUGGACAGAGAGCCCAUUCGGCUUGGGAGACCACCCCUUCCUUCACCCAGGCUGUAAGCCCGGUGCCAGGCUCAGGAGAGGCAGGACACAGAGCAGCAGUCCGUCUCGGUCAACUAGGGUCUAACCAAGG